UGCCCAUGUGCGCCAAAGUGACUCACACUGCAGCAGCUUCCAGCCUCUGUAAUCUACCGUACAUUCACGGAAUGAGACGCAGGAGGAAAAUCAAGCGAUUUCAAUGCCCGGAGGCUAGAUGUAUUUUAAAGAUUCUCACUAUAUCGCACGUGGGUAAAGCAUCAGAUGUGCGGAUGCUGCUUCCCGAAUCCCCCCCGCUUCCAACCUGUCUCAUACGUUACCUUUCCAGUGUGAAGCCAGAGUAUUCUGCGUGCCUGCAUCUGUCUCUGCCUGCAGCAGGAGCCACACACUACCUUAUAAAGACAGUGCACUCGCUUGGCUCUCUCUUAGGUCCCCUGGCUGCAGUACCCAUAACUCACCCCAAGA